CCUACGGGCGGCAGCAGUGAGGAAUAUUGGUCAAUGGGCGGGAGCCUGAACCAGCCAAGCCGCGUGAGGGAAGAAGGUACAGCGUAUUGUAAACCUCUUUUGUCAGGGAACAAAGGCGGGGACUAGUCCCCGGAUGAGAGUACCUGAAGACAAAGCAUCGGCUAACUCCGUGCCAUCAGCCGCGGUAAUACGGAGGAUGCGAGCGUUAUCCGGAUUUAUUGGGUUUAAAGGGUGCCCAGGCGGCAUGUUAAGUCAGCGGUAAACGACCGGGGCGAAACCCCGGCGAGCCGUUGAAACUGGCGGUCUGGAGUUGGCGAGAAGUACGCGGAAUGCGUGGUGUAGCGGGGAAAUGCUUAGAGAUCACGCAGAACCCCGAUUGCGAAGGCAGCGUACCGGCGCCACACUGACGCUGAGGCACGAAAGCGUGGGUAGCGAACAGGAUUAGAUACCCUAGUAGUC
rnacentral:rRNA from 1 species